CAACAACAGCCACAACAAUAAUAACAACAAUCAUGUUAGCAAUAGUGACGAUACCACCACCACCACCACCAACAACAACAACAGCAGCAACGUAAAGAACAGCGGUAACAGCGUUAACAAUAAUUAAAAUAACAAGGACCACAAUAACAAUAACAACAACGACAACAAUAUUAACCAGUUUUCUUUAAAUAGGUCAAAGGUUAAAAGAAAUUUUUACGAAGAGUGAAGAAACUUACUCCGAAUUCAGCAGAACUGGUUCUACGAGUGAAUCUGUCUCUCACAAGGUAAAUCGAUUAAUAGACAAAGUGUCGAGAAAGUUGCGAACCAGGUCGAUGACAUUCUCUAUCGUUUCAACUGUGAAUUUGAUGUCCUCCAUUGUAGAAUUGAAACAUUGAAGAGAGAAAUACAACUUGUACAAGACCUAAUCAGCAGACUGCAAACAUUCUGUUCCAGCGAAAAACCGCUGACGAGAAGCCAAACCGUUUCUCCAACGUUCAGACGUCAACAAAGCAGUUUGUUUGAUAAACUCCAUCCAGCUAACGUAAGUAACAACCAAUGUUAUUGGUUUCAAAUUUUGGCGCAAGGCCAGCAAUUUCGAAGUCGGGGAUUAGUCGAUUACAUC